CUGGUUGAUCCUGCCAGACCCGACUGCUAUCGGAUUGGGACUAAGCCAUGCGAGUCAACUCCGCAAGGGGUGGCGCACGGCUCAGUAACACGUAGUCAACCUACCCUGGGGACGGGGAUAACCUCGGGAAACUGAGGCUAAACCCCGAUGGGCCAUGGCUCCUGGAAUGGGCUAUGGCUGAAAUCUACAUGGCCCCAGGAUGGGACUGCGGCCGAUCAGGUUGUUGGUGGGGUAAUGGCCCACCAAGCCUAUAACCGGUGCGGGCUCUGAGAGGAGGAGCCCGAAGAUGGGCACUGAGACAAGGGCCCAGGUCCUAUGGGGCGCAGCAGGCGCGAAACCUCCGCAAUGGGCGAAAGCCCGACGGGGUCAGUCCGAGUGGUUCCCGCUGAGGGAACCUUUUGCCAGCUGUAAACAGGCUGGCGAAUAAGGGGUGGGCAAGUUUGGUGUCAGCCGCCGCGGUAAUACCAGCACCCCGAGUGGUCGGGACGAUUAUUGGGCCUAAAGCAUCCGUAGCCGGCCCAGUAAGUCCUCCGUUAAAUCCAACGGCUCAACCGUUGGGCUGCGGGGGAUACUGCUGGGCUAGGGGACGGGAGAGGCGAGGGGUAUUCCCGGGGUAGGGGUAAAAUCCACUGAUCCCGGGAGGACCACCAGUGGCGAAGGCGCCUCGCUAGAACGUGCCCGACGGUGAGGGAUGAAAGCUGGGGGAGCGAACCGGAUUAGAUACCCGGGUAGUCCCAGCCGUAAACGAUGUAGGCUCGGUGUUGGGCUGCCUCAGUGGCAGCCCAGUGCCGCAGGGAAGCCGUUAAGCCUACCGCCUGGGGAGUACGGCCGCAAGGCUGAAACUUAAAGGAAUUGGCGGGGGAGCACCAC
rnacentral:rRNA from 1 species